rnacentral:rRNA from 1 species
AUUGAACGCUGGCGGCAGGCUUAACACAUGCAAGUCGAGCGGAGUGAUGGUGCUUGCACUAUCACUUAGCGGCGGACGGGUGAGUAAUGCUUAGGAAUCUGCCUAUUAGUGGGGGACAACAUCUCGAAAGGGAUGCUAAUACCGCAUACGUCCUACGGGAGAAAGCAGGGGAUCACUUGUGACCUUGCGCUAAUAGAUGAGCCUAAGUCGGAUCAGCUAGUUGGUGGGGUAAAGGCCUACCAAGGCGACGAUCUGUAGCGGGUCUGAGAGGAUGAUCCGCCACACUGGGACUGAGGCACGGCCCAGACUCCUACGGGAGGCAGCAGUGGGGAAUAUUGGACAAUGGGGGGAACCCUGAUCCAGCCAUGCCGCGUGUGUGAAGAAGGCCUUAUGGUUGUAAAGCACUUUAAGCGAGGAGGAGGCUCUUUUGGUUAAUACCCAAGAUGAGUGGACGUUACUCGCAGAAUAAGCACCGGCUAACUCUGUGCCAGCCGCCGCAGUAA